rnacentral:rRNA from 1 species
CCUACGGGUGGCAGCAGUGAGGAAUAUUGGACAAUGGGCGUAAGCCUGAACCAGCCAAGUCGCGUGAGGGAUGAAGGUCCUCUGGACGGUAAACCCCUUUUAUAAGGGAAUAAAGUGUGGGACGUGACUUAUUACGUAUGUACCUUAUGUAUCAGGAUCGGCUAACUCCGCGCCAGCAGCCGCGGUAAGACGGUGGAUCCGAGCGUUAUCCGGAUUUAUUGGGUUUAAAGGGUGCGUAGGCGGCGUUGUAAGUUAGCGGUGAAAGUCUGUGGCUCAACCAGAGUAUUGCCGUGGAAACUGGGGGGCUUGAGUGUAUAUGAGGCGGGCGGAACGCGUGGUGUAGCGGUGAAAUGCUUAGAUA